GUGAAUCAUCAAAUCUUUGAACGCAUAUUGCACUCUCUGGUAUUCCGGGGAGGAUGCCUGUUUGAGGGUAAUUAAAAAGAGUCUAACCAAUUUUUUUGGUCAAAGGAUAUGAGUUCGCCGCGGUUAGAGCGGUAGCGUGAAGUAAAUGGUCAAGUCUCAUGUUAGUCGAGACGCGUAAUAAUAUUAUUUCGCGGAAUCUUCAUUAUGUGACGAUCAAGUUUUGACGCAUACAAAUUUGGUUUGUUUGCGAUCAAUACAAAUAUUUUGGAACAUUACCUCAAAUCAUGUAGGAAUACCCGC
rnacentral:misc_RNA from 1 species